UACGAACUGUGCAAACGUUAUUCGGAAUCACUAGGCUUAAAGGGUGCGUAGGCGGUCAUUUAGGUAGGGUGUGAAAGCCCCCGGCUCAACCGGGGAAUUGCGCCCUAAACCGGGUGACUGGAGUGAGAUAGGGGUGUGUGGAACUUCCGGUGGAGCGGUGAAAUGUGUUGAUAUCGGAAGGAACGCCGGUGGCGAAAGCGACACACUGGGUCUCAACUGACGCUGAGGCACGAAAGCCAGGGGAGCAAACGGG
rnacentral:rRNA from 1 species